rnacentral:rRNA from 1 species
UACGUAGGGUGCGAGCGUUAAUCGGAAUUACUGGGCGUAAAGCGUGCGCAGGCGGUGAUGUAAGACCGAUGUGAAAUCCCCGGGCUUAACCUGGGAACUGCAUUGGUGACUGCAUUGCUCGAGUAUGGCAGAGGGGGGUGGAAGUUCCACGUGUAGGCAGUGAAAUGACGUGAGAGAGUGUGGAGGAACACCGGAUGGCGAAGGCAGCCCCCCUGGGCCAAUACCGCAGGACU